GGGUGGUUAGCUCAGUUGGUUAGAGUACAUGCAUGACACGCAUGGGGUCGGCGGUUCGAAUCCGCCACUACCCA
rnacentral:tRNA from 1 species